ACGACGGAGGUUUUUUCCCCUCUUCCAAAACCUAAAGUCGCAAGAAGUUACUAAAUCAUAUUGUGUGAGCUGCCUCCUGAACACCCUAUCUCUAACAUUAGACCUCUACGAGAUUCACUCAAUCUUCUCUUCAGAUUGUCUAAGAUUUUGCUUGUUUAUAAUGGCUGUCAUAGAAAAUAAA